CCUACGGGUGGCAGCAGUGAGGAAUAUUGGUCAAUGGACGAGAGUCUGAACCAGCCAAGUAGCGUGAAGGAUGACUGCCCUAUAGGUUGUAAACUUCUUUUAUAUGGGAAUAAAAUGUUCCACGUGUGGGAUUUUGUAUGUACCAUAUGAAUAAGGAUCGGCUAACUCCGUGCCAGCAGCCGCGGUAAUACGGAGGAUCCGAGCGUUAUCCGGAUUUAUUGGGUUUAAAGGGAGCGUAGGUGGAUUGUUAAGUCAGUUGUGAAAGUUUGCGGCUCAACCGUAAAAUUGCAGUUGAAACUGGCAGUCUUGAGUACAGUAGAGGUGGGCGGAAUUCGUGGUGUAGCGGUGAAAUGCUUAGAUAUCACGAAGAACUCCGAUUGCGAAGGCAGUUCACUGGACUGCAACUGACACUGAGGCUCGAAAGUGUGGGUAUCAAACAGGAGUAGAUACCCGGGUAGGC
rnacentral:rRNA from 1 species